GGGCCCAGGGUAUAUAGUCGGUGGUUAGUGUGUCUGGGCCCAGGGGUAAUCCAGGGAUGGUUACGGUCGUCUGGGCCAGGGGUAAUAGCGGGUGUUAGUGUGUCUGGGCCCAGGGGUAAUAGAGGUGGUUAGUGUGUCUGGGACCAGGGGUAAUAAGGUUUGGUACGUCUGUCUGGCCCGGGGUAAUAGAGGUGUUAAGUCGUCUAGGCCCAGGGGUAAUAGAGGUGGUAAGUCUGUAUGGCAGGGUAAUAGAGGUGGUAAGUCUGUCUGGCCCAGGGGUAAUAGAGGUGGUUAGUGUGUCUGGGCCAGGGGCUUAAUAGAGGUGGUAAGUCUGUCUAGGCCCAGGGGUAAUAGAGGUGUUUAAUGUGUCUGGGCCCAGGGGUAAUAGAGGUGGUAAGUCUGCUGGGCCCAGGGUAAUAGAGUGUGUUAGUGUGCUGGUCACCGGGGUGAUAGAGGUGGUAAGUCUGUCUGGCCCCCGGGGUAUAGAGGUUGGUUAGUGUGUCUGGGCCCAGGGGUAAUAGAGGUGGUUAGUGUUCUAGGUCCAGGUAAUAGUAAUAGAGGUGGUUGUUGUCUAGGCCCAGGGGUAAUGCAGGUGGUCGGUGUCGGCAGGGUAAUAGAGGUGUAAGUCUGUCUGGGCCCAGGGGUAAUAGAGGUGGUUAAUGUGUCUGGCCCACGGGUAAUAGAGGUGGUUAAGUCUGUUAGGCCCAGGGGUAUAAGAGGUGGUUAGUCUGUCUAGGCCAGUGGGGUAAUAGAGGUGGUUAGUUGUCUAGGGCCCAGGGGAAUAGAGGUGGUUAGUGUGUCUGGUGCCCAGGGGUAAUAGAGGUGGUUAUUGUGUCUGGGACCAGGGGUAAUAGAGGUGGUUAGUCUGUCUAGGCCCAGGGGUAAUAGAGGUGGUUAGUUGUGUCUGGGCCCAGGGUAAUGGGGGUUAUUGUGUCUGGGGACCAGGGGGUAAUAGAGGUGGUACGUCUG
rnacentral:lncRNA from 1 species